AUCCAGCUGACGAGUCCCAAACAGGACGGAACAGUAGUCCUGGAU
rnacentral:hammerhead_ribozyme from 1 species